rnacentral:rRNA from 1 species
AUUGAACGCUGGCGGCAGGCCUAACACAUGCAAGUCGAACGAGUGGCGGACGGGUGAGUAAUGUCUGGGGAACUGCCCGAUGGAGGGGGAUAACUACUGGAAACGGUAGCUAAUACCGCAUACCAUCAGAUGUGCCCAUAUGGGAUUAGCUAGUUGGUGGGGUAAAGGCUCACCAAGGCGACGAUCCCUAGCUGGGCUGAGAGGAUUACCAGCCACACUGGAAAUGAGAAACGGGACAGACUCCUACGGGAGGCAGCAGUGGGGAAUAUUGCACAAUGGGGGCAAGCCUGAUGCAGCCAUGCCGCGUGUAUGAAGAAGGCCUUAGGGUUGUAAAGUACUUUCAGCGGGGAGGCGUUACCCGCAGAAGAAGCACCGGCUAACUCCGUGCCAGCAGCCGCGGUAAUAC